rnacentral:rRNA from 1 species
GGGUUGUGAGGUUAAGCGACUAAGCGUACACGGUGGAUGCCCUGGCAGUCAGAGGCGAUGAAGGACGUGCUAAUCUGCGAUAAGCGUCGGUAAGGUGAUAUGAACCGUUAUAACCGGCGAUUUCCGAAUGGGGAAACCCAGUGUGUUUCGACACACUAUCAUUAACUGAAUCCAUAGGUUAAUGAGGCGAACCGGGGGAACUGAAACAUCUAAGUACCCCGAGGAAAAGAAAUCAACCGAGAUUCCCCCAGUAGCGGCGAGCGAACGGGGAGCAGCCCAGAGCCUGAAUCAGUGUGUGUGUUAGUGGAAGCGUCUGGAAAGGCGCGCGAUACAGGGUGACAGCCCCGUACACAAAAAUGCACAUGCUGUGAGCUCGAUGAGUAGGGCGGGACACGUGGUAUCCUGUCUGAAUAUGGGGGGACCAUCCUCCAAGGCUAAAUACUCCUGACUGACCGAUAGUGAACCAGUACCGUGAGGGAAAGGCGAAAAGAACCCCGGCGAGGGGAGUGAAAAAGAACCUGAAACCGUGUACGUACAAGCAGUGGGAGCACAGAGCAAUCUGUGUGACUGCGUACCUUUUGUAUAAUGGGUCAGCGACUUAUAUUCUGUAGCAAGGUUAACCGAAUAGGGGAGCCGAAGGGAAACCGAGUCUUAACUGGGCGUUAAGUUGCAGGGUAUAGACCCGAAACCCGGUGAUCUAGCCAUGGGCAGGUUGAAGGUUGGGUAACACUAACUGGAGGACCGAACCGACUAAUGUUGAAAAAUUAGCGGAUGACUUGUGGCUGGGGGUGAAAGGCCAAUCAAACCGGGAGAUAGCUGGUUCUCCCCGAAAGCUAUUUAGGUAGCGCCUCGUGAAUUCAUCUCCGGGGGUAGAGCACUGUUUCGGCAAGGGGGUCAUCCCGACUUACCAACCCGAUGCAAACUGCGAAUACCGGAGAAUGUUAUCACGGGAGACACACGGCGGGUGCUAACGUCCGUCGUGAAGAGGGAAACAACCCAGACCGCCAGCUAAGGUCCCAAAGUCAUGGUUAAGUGGGAAACGAUGUGGGAAGGCCCAGACAGCCAGGAUGUUGGCUUAGAAGCAGCCAUCAUUUAAAGAAAGCGUAAUAGCUCACUGGUCGAGUCGGCCUGCGCGGAAGAUGUAACGGGGCUAAACCAUGCACCGAAGCUGCGGCAGCGACACUGUGUGUUGUUGGGUAGGGGAGCGUUCUGUAAGCCUGUGAAGGUGUACUGUGAGGUAUGCUGGAGGUAUCAGAAGUGCGAAUGCUGACAUAAGUAACGAUAAAGCGGGUGAAAAGCCCGCUCGCCGGAAGACCAAGGGUUCCUGUCCAACGUUAAUCGGGGCAGGGUGAGUCGACCCCUAAGGCGAGGCCGAAAGGCGUAGUCGAUGGGAAACAGGUUAAUAUUCCUGUACUUGGUGUUACUGCGAAGGGGGGACGGAGAAGGCUAUGUUGGCCGGGCGACGGUUGUCCCGGUUUAAGCGUGUAGGCUGGUUUUCCAGGCAAAUCCGGAAAAUCAAGGCUGAGGCGUGAUGACGAGGCACUACGGUGCUGAAGCAACAAAUGCCCUGCUUCCAGGAAAAGCCUCUAAGCAUCAGGUAACAUCAAAUCGUACCCCAAACCGACACAGGUGGUCAGGUAGAGAAUACCAAGGCGCUUGAGAGAACUCGGGUGAAGGAACUAGGCAAAAUGGUGCCGUAACUUCGGGAGAAGGCACGCUGAUAUGUAGGUGAAGUCCCUCGCGGAUGGAGCUGAAAUCAGUCGAAGAUACCAGCUGGCUGCAACUGUUUAUUAAAAACACAGCACUGUGCAAACACGAAAGUGGACGUAUACGGUGUGACGCCUGCCCGGUGCCGGAAGGUUAAUUGAUGGGGUUAGCGCAAGCGAAGCUCUUGAUCGAAGCCCCGGUAAACGGCGGCCGUAACUAUAACGGUCCUAAGGUAGCGAAAUUCCUUGUCGGGUAAGUUCCGACCUGCACGAAUGGCGUAAUGAUGGCCAGGCUGUCUCCACCCGAGACUCAGUGAAAUUGAACUCGCUGUGAAGAUGCAGUGUACCCGCGGCAAGACGGAAAGACCCCGUGAACCUUUACUAUAGCUUGACACUGAACAUUGAGCCUUGAUGUGUAGGAUAGGUGGGAGGCUUUGAAGUGUGGACGCCAGUCUGCAUGGAGCCGACCUUGAAAUACCACCCUUUAAUGUUUGAUGUUCUAACGUUGACCCGUAAUCCGGGUUGCGGACAGUGUCUGGUGGGUAGUUUGACUGGGGCGGUCUCCUCCUAAAGAGUAACGGAGGAGCACGAAGGUUGGCUAAUCCUGGUCGGACAUCAGGAGGUUAGUGCAAUGGCAUAAGCCAGCUUGACUGCGAGCGUGACGGCGCGAGCAGGUGCGAAAGCAGGUCAUAGUGAUCCGGUGGUUCUGAAUGGAAGGGCCAUCGCUCAACGGAUAAAAGGUACUCCGGGGAUAACAGGCUGAUACCGCCCAAGAGUUCAUAUCGACGGCGGUGUUUGGCACCUCGAUGUCGGCUCAUCACAUCCUGGGGCUGAAGUAGGUCCCAAGGGUAUGGCUGUUCGCCAUUUAAAGUGGUACGCGAGCUGGGUUUAGAACGUCGUGAGACAGUUCGGUCCCUAUCUGCCGUGGGCGCUGGAGAACUGAGGGGGGCUGCUCCUAGUACGAGAGGACCGGAGUGGACGCAUCACUGGUGUUCGGGUUGUCAUGCCAAUGGCACUGCCCGGUAGCUAAAUGCGGAAGAGAUAAGUGCUGAAAGCAUCUAAGCACGAAACUUGCCCCGAGAUGAGUUCUCCCUGACUCCUUGAGAGUCCUGAAGGAACGUUGAAGACGACGACGUUGAUAGGCCGGGUGUGUAAGCGCAGCGAUGCGUUGAGCUAACCGGUACUAAUGAACCGUGAGGCUUAACCUUACAACGCCGAAG